ensembl:lncRNA
CACACACACACACACUAUUUCUGCCUUUCUUGUUCCCUGUAACAGGAAGUAAAUUUUUUAACCCUUCACUGUUUCCUCAGUCUAAAAAUGCCAACACAGACACGAACAUUCUAAGCCAGACACAAAGAUAUUGAGGACACAGGAAGGAAACGUCACAUCAUCCUAUGCAGCUGGUUGUUUUAUGGCACUUGUGCAGCUCCUGUAGUUCCUGACCAGAUAUGCACCAUACACACACACCAGGUCUGGCAUGGCAGAAGCAUAACGGCAUGACUUUAUGAGUGUAGCGCAGCUCAGUUCGUGGGCAUUCUUGCUGUAAUGAAAGCAUUUUGUAAUUCUGCAGCCCCAUUUCUCCACAGUUGAGUUACAAUUGUAAAGCAUCACAUACAGUAUGACAGGCGACUACAUGGGUCUGUAAUACACUGGAAAUAAACAAUCUGUACAUUCACAGGGGAAACGUUUGAAUUUAAAUUUGAGAUUUUUUUUUAAAGAAACAGGUUUAACUACUAGUCACCGUUAAAUUUGUGGCUUGUCAAAACAACUAUGUUUAGGUUGCUGUCCUAACCGUCUCCGUCUGAGCUCAUUUAGCAUGUCGUGUUCACUUUAUCACAUUUCAUGCAGAUAAUAAAUCGUUUAGUUGUUCAUUUGUCCCUUGUGGCCAGAUGCUCCAUUUUAAGGGACCAAAAAAUAUUGGAGAUUGAUAGUGUAUUAUUAUUAUUAUUAUUACUAUUGUUAUUAUUAUUAUUAUCAUUAUGGCUUUGCUUAUUCCUUUGGUGUCAGUUAGACAAACCAGAGUAUCAGCUAAUUAUGUCUUUUUCCAAAUCAUUGUGCUUCAGACAUCUUCAGUUCCAUCAGUGAAUAUGAGUUUAUAAGACUUAUAUAUACUUUAUAAAUAAUUCAACGAAAGCCUUUUCCUUAUGAAGAUGAGAAAUGUCGAGGAAAAACACAAACAAGUCGCAGUCUAUCGAAAAGCCGGCAGUUCGCUUGCUCACUGAGAAUUUGAAUGGAAGAGGAGAGAAACCUUAGCAGUGUAAUCCGAUACGUAAUGCGCACAUCCACCAUGACACGCCCUCGACGCUUCCUCCGAGUUCUGAUUCCUUGUGCUUCUAUCUCUGUUUUUUGUUUAGUUUUCUCCGCCUCCUUAAUAUUUAUUGACUUACUUUUUUGCCUUCCCUGCCUGUUUAUAUUUGAUUAAUGCUUAUGUACAUAUUUCCAGUUUGUGUUUAGUUUCAGUGUUUUCUACUUGGUUUCUUCAUCUUGCAUGUUUUUUUUGGUUUUCUCAAGUUUAUUCGGCAUAAAACCCCGUGUAUCAUUUAUUAAAUGUCAAAUAGUAUUCCCUGCUGAAAAAACAACAUAAACCGUCAUAGUAAUUCCAAUGGUUUCCACUAGAAAUACCACAAGGCCAUUACCAUUACCAUUAUUGGUCCUUAAUGGAAUCCACUAGAUAUUUAAAUUUCAUGCAACCAAUAGAAGACAACAAAUUACCAGUAGAGACCCAUUACAAGGACCAUUACAGUUUCCAUUAAAACCAGUACAAUUCCCAUUAUAACCAUUAAAACCAUUACUGGUCCUUAAUGGUUUCCACUAGACAUAACAUGCCACCAAUAGAAGUCAACAAAUUACCAGUAGAGACCCAUUACAGGGACCAUUACAGUUUCCAUUAAAACCAGUACAAUUCCCAUUAUAACCAUUACUGGUCCUUAAUGGUUUCCACUAGACAUAACAUACCACCAAUAGAAGGCAACAAUUUAUCAGUAGAGACCCAUUACAGGGACCAUUACAUUUCCAUUAAAACCAGUACAAUUCCCAUUAUAACCAUUACUGGUCCUUAAUGGUUUCCACUAGACAUAACAUACCACCAAUAGAAGGCAACAGAUUACCAGUAGAGACCCAUUACAGGGACCAUUACAGUUUCCAUUAAAACCAGUACAAUGCCCAUUAUAACCAUUAAAACCAUUACCAGUCCUUAAUGGUUUCCACUAGACAUAACAUACCACCAAUAGAAGGCAACAAAUUACCAGUAGAGACCCAUUACAGGGACCACUACAGUUUCCAUUGAAACCAGUACAAUUCCAAUUAUAACCAUUAAAACCAUUACUGGUCCUUAAUGGUUUCCAAUAGACAUAACAUACCACCAAUAGAAGGCAACAAAUUACCAGUAGAGACCCAUUACAGGGACCAUUACAGUUUCCAUUAAAACCAGUACAAUUCCUAUUAUAAAACAAUUCAUAUUUUAACCAUUAAAAUCAUUACAAAUUCUAUGAGGAUUUCUAAUGGAGUUUUUUUUCCAGCAGGGUUCUCUAUGUUUUUUUCUUCCAUAUCACGUUUAAAAAAUAAACAGCUAUAAUUAUCAGUUCACAAGUUUAUUUCACUUUGUGUUACAUUUGUUUUCCGACUCCUGAUUUACAAUCUAUUAUUCGAAGCCGAUAGUGCUGGAACCCUUUGUGCUUUUGAACAUAUACUGCUUAUUUAUGGGUAAUGCAGUAAAGCAGAUUCAUGCAUUUUCUCUUCUCAAAUCUGUUGUAAUUCUGUAAGAUUUCAAAAUAAUAGUGAUGAAAGGACAGUUAAGACGGUAAUUGUCUGUUUUGUUCCUGAAAGUAUUUACCGUAAUAUAACAUUGUGUGCGGUUUUAUUACAAUAAUAAUUGAUAGAAUGACAACUUGAAUAAUCCGUUUUCCUCAAAGGUAAAGGUUACCGUAAUAUUUAGCAGACUAUCUGUGUCAAUUUACCAGCUGCUAACUUACUGUUAGUUAGUACGUUCGCCUCACACCUCCAGGGUUGGGGGUUCGAUUCCCAGCGUUGUGUUUCCUCUGGGUACUCCGGUUUCCUCCCCCUGAUUGGCAUGUCCAAAGUGUCUGUAGUGUGUGAACGUGUAUGUGAUUGUGCCCUGCGAUGGAUUGGCAUCCUGUCCAGGGUGUACCCUGCCUUGUGCCUCCUGCUCCCUGGGAUAGGCUCCAGGUUCCUUGUGACCCAGUAGGAUACGCAGUAUAGAAGAUGGAUGGAUGGAUUGGUCAGAAGCUGUGGAUUAAUGCUAUAUAAAUGCACGGUUUGGACAUGAACAUGAACAAUAGAUUUAUAUUAAUACACUCUUUCUAAUAUAGUAUAUGUUAACUAAUAUGUUUCUAUAGUGACAGCUCGUGCACAGGGAUUUUGAUGGGUGGAUUCUCUACAUAAUCUUAUUGUACAUUUUUUGUGUGUGAUUUUUGUGUGAUUAAAAUGCUUGAUUUUGCUGUGGCUUUUCUUCCUAAAUUUUUUAUGCAGUUUGUGGAGUUUUUUGUGUUUUUUAUUUUCCAGAAAUCUACUUGAAUUGGCAAAAUUGUUGUAACUAUAAACCAUUUAAACCAAGUACUAUAUUCAUUCAUUAAUAAAUCAAAAAUUGUAAUCGAAGGCAAUAUCGAUUUGGUGCUGUUACACGCUCAGGCCAUAUCAUACCACCUCAGUGUGUAUUAUUAUUCGUAUGACGGCACGGUCCCAUCGUGUUUUAUUCCUUACUAGAUUCUUUUCCUGAGAAUGUAAUUGCUGUAAUAUUAAAUGGUUUACUUACACUUUCUUUCCACAUGACAAAUUAAUAUCCUCCUUUCUGACCACUUUUUACAGGAAUUGUUUUUUAAACAGUGCAAUACAUUUCUGAAUAUCCUGUCAUGUCUUAAUGGCAAGCUACAGCCCAAGCUGCAGUGGAGCGGCUUUACAGCGAAUGUGCAAUGCUGCAGCAUGCAGGCGGACAUAAUGAUGCAAUGCUUGGUGCGUGGAAGUGCACCUUUACCUAUUUUAGCUGCGCAAGAGGAAAAUGCCGCAUACCACUGCAGGAAAACCUUAGGGAACAUGGGAUCAGUCUUCCGCAGGUGGCUUUCUAAUCACCUGUUGCUGCACCUUGACACUUAGGAGAGAAAUAUAACACAGCCCGUGAAUCCUGUCUACUGUAUAUGAAUGUCAUCGGUUUAUGUGUGAUGCCUGUAUAUACAAAAUGAAUUUUGGGAAACAGAAGCCCAUGAGCCUUACGUGAUACACCCGCAAUCACUAUUAAAGGCUUUAGGUAAUGUAAGGAAGAUGAUGAUGGGUUAAUCCUGAACUAGAAUUUAUAAGCUAGGCUUGGUAACAGAUCUGUAAGAAUGUACUAAGACACUAUAAGCUACUUUUGUCAUUUCCUCAAUGCCUGUACUGUGCUAAUGAUACUUCCUGUGGAAUUCUGAGAUGCUAUGAGGGUGGUGAGGAUGAUGAGGGAAAUAGAAAAAUAGAAAACCACUGAAGUAACAUUAAGAAAAGGUCUAUAGGAUCACAUACAUUUAAAGUCAAAGAUAUAAUGAAGGUACAUGCAAAAAAAACCCAAACAAACAAAAAAACAGAUCAUAAACUAGUACUAAUUAACUAAUUAUCCCAAGGAUACUACAUAGUGUAAAAUAAUGAAAUGUUCAACCUGGAUUUAUAACAUUAACACACUCCUCUAUAACAGUUCUUCAGCUUAUAUGUUAUUUAGUAGCUACAGCAAGCAUACAGUACAAGCGCUGAUGUGUUUGUGUGUCUCGAAUGCUACAGUAAAACAGUAGCACAGGCCUGUAUGAGGAUUUCAGAGUGGCAAGGCUGGUAAAUAAUAGCUGUCUCAGAAAACAGAAGCGCAUUGUGCUCUAACAGGCUAUGCUACAGUCAUUUAAUGAUGAACGCUUUAACAUGUCUCAAAGGAAGCUGCAAUACGGAUGCAAUGUAUAAAAUUGUAGGCUUACCUUGUUAUCGAAUUAUCCCGGAGAAAGGACAUCUGUUACUUGUGUGUGUGUGUGUGUGUGUGUGUGUGUGUGUGUGUGUCCAUUCCACCUCCCUGCUGUUGUGUAACUGGGACAUUAUCAGGAGUCAGGUGUCACUUUGUGACCUGAAGAGUGUUUGUGAGUGUGUGAGUGUUGGUCAACUCACACGUGCAUCUCUUACUACACUUUAUAUGGAGCACAUAUACAGUACGCACUUUUUUAAAAUUUAAUUUACAAAUAUAUGCACGUUUUUAAGGAAUGGGAUACGUUAUAGUUUUGAUCAACAAUAAUGUUAUUUUGACUAAGAACCCUUAAAAAGAAUGAGAAAUGUAAUAAUAAUAAGAAGGAGAAGAAGAAGAAGAGGAAGAAGACUGUACAGUCCCUCCAGGAUUUUGUGACAUGAACACAAAAUGAAGGAAACUGCAAUAUUCGGAGGAGCGUGCAAUUUUCAAAAUUACUGCAGAUUUUCUGCAGGUUUGGGCCCAAACGCGUCAUAUGACGUUGUUACGACGCGCAUUCAGUAAAAGCGCUCUGCGAUUCACGUGCGUUGAACACGAGUACAGCUAAAAGGUCUCAUUUUCCGACGAACAUCACUGCGAAACAAUUUCGUGCGACUGCAAUUCCGCCAAUUCAAGUAGUUUUCCGCAAAAAAAAAACGCCACAAUUUUGAAAAAACCCACAGCAAAAUCUAGCAUUUUUGUCCUCAACAAUCAGGGAAAAAAAAAAAAAAAUUGCGAAAUCCUAUAUGGACUGAUGUAAACGUGUAAAAAUACUUCAGCGAGUAUACUACAUAUGUUUGAGUGUACUCCUCUAGAGUAAAAAUGGAUAUGCAUGUUUGUUUGUUUUUAGUGUGAGUGUGUUAUGUGUGAACAAGUGUGUUUGUGUGUUAGGAUGAAAGCGUGAGAAAAUAUGAAAAGGAAAUAUGUUCAGUAUGUGCAGUAUGUGUACAUACAUAUUCAUGAGCAUGAUAGAACAGUGAAGAAAGCAACAGAAUAGAAACGGGGAGAGAGAGAGAGAGAGAGAGAGAGAGGAGAGAGAGAGAGAGAGAGAGAGGGUGAUACUGAGGUGGUAUGGUUUGGUUUCUACAGCCAUCUCUGUUUCUGCUAACAGAAUGGCACUCUGUUCCUCAGCCAGCUUAGCAAAGCAGGAGGAACAGAUGGGCAUUGAUCAUUUUAAACUGCCUGACUCACACAAAGAGCAGAAUUGUUGAAAAACUGUAAAUAUGUGUGUGUGCGUGCGUGUGUGUGUGUGUCGGGGGACUAUAUUCAUCUCUUUAUGGGGGCCAAAUGUCCUCAUGAAGAUAGAAAUACAGGAUAAUUUUAACCUUGUCGGAACAGUUAUCUGGUCUUCAUGGGAAGAAUAACAUGUUUACCCCCACACAAAGUUUUAUUUUAAUAAACAAACAAAUAAAUAAAUAAUCAGUUACUGAGGUUACAGGUGCUGUCAAGUUUAGAUUUAGGUUUAGGUGUAGCAUUAUCAUAACUAGCUAGCCCUUCAGUUCACUUCAGUAUUCAAUAUACUGUAUUACUGUACACUUCAGUAUUCAUUAGCUAGCCCAUAGAUUUAAAAGACAGAAAGAGCAAGCUAGUCACUGAACUGUAACUAAAUAGGAAUCAUCUGCACUUGUUAAGUGCCUGAUAGCCCAAUAGCUCUCAAAAAUCACUGACAUGUACCACACUAUAAUCGCUAAAAAGAGCUCUUCAGUAGCUUUUGAAUGGCACCAGCCACACCCCUUCAUGAUCUAAGGUGCCUGAGAAAGAGGCCAUGAUCAUUAGCGUUUUAGCCGACUUUGGAGCUCCACUUCCAGCUAAAAUGACACCUCAGGCACUGCCACGGAGCUCAUUAUGUUUCAAUCGAUCAUUCUCAAAUUCCCCAGGUCAUAGACUUCAUUUAUUCAACUGAACUAUAUUUUGGAGAACCGGACAGCAGGAGACUGUUCGCUGUGUCCAACCUCAGUGCACUCUCAUGUGCUUGCCCUCUCGUCUCACCCUCGUUGUAAACAAAUGUCCGUGGACCAGUAAUCAGCAGUAGCUCGCACUACUAGUCAGUCCGUACAGGAUUGCCAAAAAUGCUUCAUUUUG